rnacentral:lncRNA from 1 species
AUUCCCUCAGCCUUCAACACCUUGAGAGCUUGUUUGGAGGCCCUAGCAGGGGUGCAAAGCUACUCAUAUACCCUUGGCUGAAGACCAGUCCUCCUCUAUCGGGGAUUGUCGAGAUGGCAGGAUGAGAUUGUGGUCUUCCAUCCACACAGCUACCCCUUCACCAUGUGAUCUCUGCAUACCAGCUACCUUUUGCCUUCUGACAUGAACGGAAGAAGCCUGCAGCCCUCACCAGAAGCAGAUGCUGAUGCCAUGCUUCUUGUACAGCCGGCAGAACUAGCUCAGUUGAUCGUGGAUAACUGACAUAAGGAAGGCAAAAGUGGGUGAAGGAGGCCUGCUGAAUUGGGAAAUUGUUAGACAACAUUCUACAACGGCUGAACAGUGCUUGUCAUUUCAGUGCUGUACAAGAAUAUUAAUGAUGUGGAAAGCUGUCCAUUAUAAUAAAGUUCAAAAAGAACUUGCAAAAUACAA